AUUGAACGCUGGCGGCAUGCCUUACACAUGCAAGUCGAACGGCAGCACGGGGCAACCUGGUGGCGAGUGGCGAACGGGUGAGUAAUGCAUCGGAACGUACCUUUCAGUGGGGGAUAACGUAGCGAAAGUUACGCUAAUACCGCAUAUUCUGUGAGCAGGAAAGCAGGGGAUCGCAAGACCUUGCGCUGAUGGCGCGGCCGAUGUCAGAUUAGCUAGUUGGUGAGGUAAAGGCUAACCAAGGCGACGAUCUGUAGCGGGUCUGAGAGGAUGAUCCGCCACACUGGAACUGAGACACAGUCCAGACUCCUACGGGAGGCAGUAGUGGGGAAUUUUGGACAAUGGGGGCAACCCUGAUCCAGCCAUGCCGCGUGAGUGAAGAAGGCCUUCGGGUUGUAAAGCUCUUUCGGCCGGGAAGAAAUCGCACGGGCUAAUACCCUGUGUGGAUGACGGUACCGGAAUAAGAAGCACCGGCUAACUACGUGCCAGCCGCCGCCGUAAGAC
rnacentral:rRNA from 1 species